AAUCAUUUUCCUCACCCUCUCUUCUCACACACGACAGAUCUCUCUCUCUCUCUCUCUCCGUCCGACGCACCCUCUCCCUCUCUCUCUCUCUUGGGUCUUGCAUCCAUAGCUCAAACCCAUGGAAACCCAACCUCUCUAUGCCGUGUUCUAACUUCCCCGACGUGUGAGUUGCGUUGAUUAAGCUUGGAAGGGGUGUAUCUCGGUGGAUUUCGAAUUUGAAGCCCUAGAGUUCGAUUGAGCUUGAGCUUGUGCUUUCGAUCUUUGAGGUACACCUCAAGGGCAUUGAUUUUGGAGUGCAUGAAGUGCAUCUUUUACAUCGUAUCUUUUGAAAGCCGACAAUCAGGAGUUGUUCUAGCAUCUUUGUAUACUCCCUUUUGAAAGAUGCAAUUGUAACUUCAUUUGAACGCUUUUGACUUUGGGAAUCAUGUAAUCGCUAAACUUAUCCUCUUUUGACUAAUUCUGGAAAUUGGGCCAAGGUGUCAAUAUUGUAACUCUAUUCAAACUUGAUUUUAUUCUCUCGCAUGAAUUAUGAAAAAUAUUUUGGGGUA